rnacentral:lncRNA from 1 species
CUUGCUGGUUUACUUGCAGAGAAAGUAAAGAGUACUCAGAUUAAGAAGACAGCAUUUGCUUCUACAACCUUGCCACAGCCUGACAUCAAGUUUCAGGCCAAGUUGAGGGUUUUCUUUUCUUUAUUUUUUUUAAGUUUAUUUAUUUAUUUUCAAAGAGAGAGAGAGAGAGAGCCAGUGCAAGAGCAGGAGAGGGGCAGAGAGAGAAGGAGAGAAAAUCCCAAGCAGGCUCCAUGCUGUCAGUGCAGAGCCUGAUGAGGGCUCCAUCCCCAGAACCACAAGAUCAUGACCUGAGCCAAAAUUGAGAGUCAGGCGCUUAACUUACGAAGCCACUCAGACGCCCCCAAGUUGAGGGUUUUCUAACAAAAAUAUUCUCAGUCUUUGUGGAUAACCAGAUCCAUUAGAGAAUCUGUAGUACUUAUAGUCUGUGUAAGAAUUCAAAAGCAUGGAAUGGAGACAUUUACAAGUAUGGUUGACCAUUACAGGUUCAGCUGUAUAAACUAAAACUAGGAAUGAUGAAGAAGAAGAAAGGAAGAAGGAAUCCAUGUUCCUUAGUGGACACAGAAGUGAAGAGCAGCCAGCUAAAUUAACCUGGAUUGAUGAAUGAUAAUUAAAGAAUUAUCAAUUGAAGAUACAUUUUUAUGCCAUUUUUCAAGAUUAUACUGGAUGACUAUUGUGAAACACCAAAGAAAACACUCCAGGAAUUCUGAAACAAACAAACAAAAUGCGCAGAUGUAUGAGACACCAAAGAGGAAUUAUGUCAAAUCAAAUUAUUUAUUAUUUGAUCUUAAAAGAUGAUCAAGAGGAGCAAAUGUCCAAUGUUUAAAUUCUAGGACCGAAAAUAAAUAUUUCAGAAGACUCUCA